AUAAUCCUCAACAAAGUACUUGCAAACCAAAUCCAGCAGCCACAAAAAGCUAAUCCACCAUGUCAAGUAGGCUUCAUAUCCAGGAUGCAAGAUUGACUCCAACACAUGCAAAUCAAUUAAGUGUGAUUCAUCACAUACAUUGAACUAAAGACAAAAAUCACAUGAUUAUCUUAAUAGAUCCAGAAAAGCCUUUUGAUAAAAUUCACACAUUCCUUUAUGUUAAAAACACUCAAUAGCAAGUGCUGUGAACCACGUGGGUCCCUGGAGCGUUUUGGGUCCUGACAGCUGCAGCGGGAGUUCAAACCUAAGCAACUGGAAGGGACCAUGGCCGCUGUGAGCGUACCUUCAUUGCGAUCAAACCAGAUGGGGUCCAGCGGGGUCUUGUCGGAGAGAUUAUCAAGCGUUUUGAGCAGAAAGGAUUCCGCCUUGUUGGUCUGAAAUCCAUGCAAGUUUCUGAAGACCUUCUCAAGGAACACUACAUUGACCUGAAGGACCGUCCAUUCUUUGUUGGCCUGGUGAAAUACAUGCACUCAGGGCCCGUAGUUGCCAUGGUCUGGGAGGGGCUGAAUGUGGUGAAGACAGGCCGAGUCAUGCUCUGGGAGACCAACCCUGUGGACUCCAAGCCUGGGACCAUCCGUGGAGACUUCUGCAUACAAGUUGGCAGGAACAUUAUACAUGGCAGUGAUUCCGUGGAGAGUGCAGAGAACGAGAUCAGCUUGUGGUUUCACCCUGAGGAACUGGUAGAUUACACGAGCUGUGUUCAGAACUGGAUCUAUGAAUGACAGGAGGGCAGGCCACAAUGCUUUUCACAUCCAUUUCCCCUCCUUCCCAUGGGCAGAGGACCAGGCUGCAGGAAAUCUAGUUAUUUAAAGGAACUUCGUCAUACUUUGGAAGGAAGCUCUUGGAGCUGUGAGUGCUCCCUGUACAGUGUUACCAUCCCCUACCAUCUGAUUAAAAUGCUUCCUCCCAA